CACACGCUUUAAAUACCGUAUGACUUACAUACAGACUCUAUUUCACUCAGUGACACAUCAUGGGAUGCUCAGGGCUGUUGAUUUUGGGUCUUGUCCUGAAUGUUGCUCACUGCCUGGAAACUCUGGGACAGAGUGACAUGAUUAUUGAGAGCAAGGAAAGCAUCACGGCAGUUCUGGGAGACGAUACCUACUUGAGCUGUAGAUAUCUGGGCGGGAGUCAGAUCCAAAAGGCCGCAUGGAAACGCCAGGUUAACUCCAUAUUCAAAUCCAGGGCGCUGGCAGGAAUUUCAGGGAAAGGGCCGUUUGGGAACGCGGUGCUCUCAGAACCAGAGUCUCUCACCAACCUGACAGUCAAGAUGAACGUGUCCGGUGUGGAGUUGGAGGGAGAGUAUAUCUGUGAGUUUGAAUCGGAGGAAGAGGAUUCUUUCGCUAGCAGAACCUUUGUCACCAUCCUGGUUCGGCCUAUUAUACAGGUUCUAGUGGAUGCAGAGACCAUCAACGGCACCCACUACCAGUCGGUGUCGUGCUCUGCCAUCGGUGGCCGCCCCCCCCCACAGAUCCGCUGGCUGAUCGAUGGCCUUCCUGUCACACACCACCUCUUCACUGUCAACGCAAGUACAGCCGCUCACUCGAACGGAACCUCCACCCUGAGCAGCGUCCUCCGCUUCCCCACCCACCUGCAGGACGACGACCGCGUGACCUGCGAGGUUCAACACCCGACCCUCCCAAGCCCCGCGCUCACCACAGUCAGGGUGGAAACCUACGCGAGGCCGAACGUGAGCAUUGAGGCGGCGAUGGUGCAGCGGGGAGGAACUGAGUUCUGGGUGGUCUCCUGCCUUUCGUCUGGAGGGAGACCUGACGCUGACAUCUCCUUGGCUUUGAACACCGACGAUGAGCUGCGGCGAGAGAACAACACAGACUCAGACGCACAGAGGAGCUCUGUUUACCUCCCUGCGACACGGUACGAAGGCCACAAUGUCACCUGUGCGUUCGUUCAUCCCAAAUUCACACACCCAGAGACGCGAGUCAAAACGCUGCCCUCUUUUUACCUGACUGGAGCUCGGCUGAUGGACUCAGGAAUCAAAAACGGUGACCUUCAAGGCAGCGACUGGUUGAAGCUGCAGGAGGGACAGAGGGACGUUGUCAUCGGCCUGCAGGUCACUGGAAAUGUGCCGCGUUACAAUGUCACCUGCAAAAAGGACGACGGCCUCUUACCGGACGGCGUUGAGCUGGUUGACGGCCGCCUCGCGGUUCAGGGUCCGGUGGAGCAUCGCCAAGCGGGCCCGUAUGAGUGCACCUUCUCCUAUCACCACCAUAGAGCAACGCUGCACUUUAACAUCACGGUGAACCCUCGACCUGCUCGGCUCGUGGAACCCGCCAUAGAAGCGUACUGGUGGAGAGACGGCGGACGCAGGGUGAUUGAGUGCUCAGCAGCUGAUGCUGUUCCUGCAGCCAACAUGUCCUGGCUGCUACCAGAGGGUGUGUCUGGAGACUCUUGGUUCAAUUUCACUUCUCAUAAUGGAAGCCAGUCUGUGAGGGGAGUGUUCCUCCUCCCCGCCUGCCUGCCCUGGGAGCUCACUGCAGUGUGUGUGAUAAAUCACGCAGCUUUUGAGAAGCCAGAAAACAGAAGCAUAACACUCCCUAUGUGCGGUACUGUAUGUUCUACUGAGAGAUGCCUUUGUCUGACUAGUGGCCAUAGGUUUCAUCUCACUUCCUGCGCUUCGACUCCCGUUUCCAACACAGCUCGCCCCAACGUCACCGUCAACUCCAGCACAGACUGGAAAGACGGCGAGAGGUUCACAACGGUGCAGUGCUCUGCACACAGCGUGGCCCCCGCAGCAGCUCUAACCUGGCGCGUGGGGGGCGGUGAUGACAUCAUCAGCGGUCUGACGGAGACCGACGUGCGGGAUGAGAGUUUGGUUUGCGUUCGUAGCUCCGUGCGGUUCUCGUCCGCCGCGUACGCUGGUCGGAAUGUGACCUGCGUGGUGCAGCAUCCGAGCCUGGAGCAGCCGGAGAACAGAAGCAUACACAUCCCUGUGCACAAAGCCCCCGAGCUGAGCGUGUCUGUGAUGAGGCAGCAGCACUCCCGCCUCUGGCUGGCCGUGUGUGAGUGCACGGCGGAGGAUGUCAGGGCCCACCUCGCCUGGGUUGUUCCUGAAAAUGUCAAAGGUCAAACCACCCUGCAGUCAGAGUUUGAGGGGCAUGCUACGAAAGCCAGGCUGACUUAUCAGUUUCCACUGGAAUCUCACGAGGGGCAGGACCUGACCUGUGUGUACCAGUUGGAACACGGGGCCACAGAGGAGCGGAGUGUUCGUAUUCCCAAAUAUCGUAUCACGGCUGUGAGAGUCUUGAACCACACGACCCCUCUGCGCAGCCGCAGCGGCGCGGCCCUCAUACAGCGACUGUCUCUGGAGGAAAAUCAGCGCAACCAGAAAAUCCUGCUCCAGGUGGACGGCAACGUGCCACAGUAUGAGCUGAGCUGCAAAAGGGCCGACGGCUCGUUUGUCCACAUGGAGGGGCUCAAGAUGGCCUUCCAGGCGGCGAUCACGGAGCGGGACGAAGGCCUGUACACCUGCACGGCGUCUUUUUACCACCACACAGCUCAGGUCCAGUUCCACGUGGAGGUCAUGUGUGAGGAGAAGCUGUUGGCACUGGUCUCCGUGAUCGGCACCUCCUCGGCCGCGGCCGUCGCCAUCUUGGCCAUCGUGGCGCUCUGGGUCUGCUGGUGAGUCCCACGCCUCCACAGGUGAUGGAGGUGACGCUCCGACGGGCAGAUGUAGGCCAGCGCCGCCAGCGCCACACGCCGCGAGAUAAACAGGAUGUGCAGCUCACUAGUUGAAACCCCAGUUUCACAAACAGGAAGCAGUGUGGCUUAAGCAGACAGGUGCCGGUGCCACCGCAGCCCUGUUUGUAGGCAGGUAGACGACGUUCCUUCUGUUACUGUGAACAACAGAUUUAUUUCCAGUUUCCUGCUCUGGUUUUUAGCAGCGUUACAUUAGAUCGCUGUUCGUUGGCCCAUCAUCAUCCAUGCACAGUAAAAAGUGAAGGUAAAGGGGGUCAGAAAGUCCACAUCUUUAAGUUAAGGAAGUUAUUAGUAUAAUGAAAUUCAAGCUGCUGUUCAUCAAUGAAGAAACCCACAAAUUCAUCUCUUAAUCUUAUUGCUGCUGGAAAAAAUCAGUGAGUCACUCGUCUUUUACGACUGAUGUGGGAUGUCUGUCACCAUCCGAGAACUGUUUAUGGUUUCUGCCUGCAGACGUUUCCACAUUACCACAAUCAAAGCCAAAAUCUUAACUUUUCUCAAGAAUGUUUAUCGGGAUCAGGUCAGGCCUCGCUGAGAAGAGCGCUGCCGUGCGCUGCACAGCAGGCGACUAGGCCGGUCUCUGCGGUCAGAGCGUCUGGUCAAGGUGCCAUUGGCUGCUGGAGCCCGUGUGCCAGCAUCCUUUGCUCCAGUGGAAGGGUCCCGUCAGGCUAAUUUAGGAAGGUCAGUCACAGCAUACAACAGGCCACACAAGAAAGUAUGACUCCCCCGAGAGGAGCGCUAUUCUGGGGCCAACGUCAGAGCUGGGGACACGCUCUAACAGCAGCAGGUCUUCAGCGGUUGAUGUCACAUCAGAGAUCACAAAAUACACAGGAGGACAACGUUUAAGAACCAGGAGUCGCUCUCAACUUUCCUGAUGCAGGAGCCCGGGUCUCCUGAGGGGAAAAGGCCGGGAGAAACACAAGCAGACAGCAAGGAGUACGCACAUCUGGUCAGUUACUC